ACGAACGCUGGCGGCGUGCUUAACACAUGCAAGUCGCACGGAAAGGCCCUGCUUUUGUGGGGUGCUCGAGUGGCGAACGGGUGAGUAACACGUGAGUAACCUGCCCUUGACUUUGGGAUAACUUCAGGAAACUGGGGCUAAUACCGGAUAGGAGCUCCUGCUGCAUGGUGGGGGUUGGAAAGUUUCGGCGGUUGGGGAUGGACUCGCGGCUUAUCAGCUUGUUGGUGGGGUAGUGGCUUACCAAGGCUUUGACGGGUAGCCGGCCUGAGAGGGUGACCGGCCACAUUGGGACUGAGAUACGGCCCAGACUCCUACGGGAGGCAGCAGUGGGGAAUAUUGCACAAUGGCCGGAAGCCUGAUGCAGCAACGCCGCGUGCGGGAUGACGGCCUUCGGGUUGUAAACCGCUUUCGCCUGUGACGAAGCGUGAGUGACGGUAAUGGGUAAAGAAGCACCGGCUAACUACGUG
rnacentral:rRNA from 1 species